rnacentral:rRNA from 1 species
UACGAAGGGGGCUAGCGUUGUUCGGAAUUACUGGGCGUAAAGCGCGCGCAGGCGGCUAUCCAAGUCAGUGGUGAAAGCCCGGAGCUCAACUCCGGAACUGCCAUUGAAACUGUUUAGCUUGAGGACGAGAGAGGUGAGUGGAAUUCCCAGUGUAGAGGUGAAAUUCGUAGAUAUUGGGAAGAACACCGGUGGCGAAGGCGGGCUACACUGGCUCGUAACUGACGCUCAUGCACGACAGCGUGGGGAUCAAACAGG